CCCCAAAUUCCACUCGUGAUAAGCCUACGGUUUGCUGCUUUUAGUAAAUCUAUAGAAUUGCAGCCAUCAGCACACAAUAGAUUUAGAACUUUUUCUUCAAAAAGUUCCUUCGUGGCUCAGUUGACAGAAUGCUUGCCGGGUAUGCAGGAAGCUCCAACCUCCAAAUCUAGUACCGCAUCUGUGUGGUGUGGUGGAAUGUACCCGAAAGACCAGCACACAGGCACACAUCGGAUGAGAAAGAAACUUGGAUGUAAGAGAGGAUGUGGGCAAGGAUAAUUGGAAACAGAGGACACGUGUCUUCCCCAUCGCAGAGACGUCCCCAAGCACAGCCCUUUGAAGGUUUGUUUGUCUGAGCCCAGGCCGUCUCCUUCAGGCUCCCCUUGCAGGCACCGGUUUUGUAGCUGGCUUACUGCUCCGGCCUCAUCAGGGGAAACCCAAACGGAAGCUAACACUAGAAAGGGAGAGGGGUGGAGGAAACAGAGGAAAAGAAAAGCAGACAACAAGGAGGAGGGUGGACAGAAACACUCUGAGACUAUGGAGAAAGGAAGGGGGAGGGAGAUCAGAGCAGAAAGUCGGUGUUAGCCUCCAAUCAAAGAGCCAAGCACUUCCGUCAUCCGGACUGUACAUUGAGGAGGAGCAUCAUCUCAUGUUUGAAUCUGAAAUUGAAUCAAAAUCUCAUGUUUUGAACAUGUUCCUGGCUGGUGGUACUGUUUUGGAAGGCUGUGGAACCUCCUGAAGGUAGGGCUUACUUCGUGGAUGUGAGUCACUGGGGGAGCGUCUUGGAAAGUUACAGCCCAGCUACCGGUUCCAGAGGACCUCUCUGCCUCCUGGUCCACUGCCGUGUGAACAGUCAUUUGCACAGCCCUACUGCCAGACUGCACCACUCCACCAUGUCUGUCUUCCCUGCUGUGAUGGGCUGCAGCCUCCUGAAGCCCCCCAUAAAUCGUUCCUGAAACACAAAAGUUACUGUGAUAUAAAAAAUCAGAAGAACAUAUGUCUCACUUUAUCCAAAAUUGCUUCCAAAUGGAUAAUGGACAAGUAUAAACCUUGAAAUUAUCAAGCUUCUAAAAGAAAGGGUGAGAAAAAAAUCUUGGUGACCUUAUGGUACACAGAGUUCUUAGCUGUGAUACCAAAAACAAGAUCUGAACACCAAAUCAGUCCAGCGCCUUGCUCAGCCUUCCCCAGAGAAUCUCCCUGUGACAGCAGAUGGGCACAGACACAGACACCCAUGAUUGGACAAUAUGGAUAGUGAGAAAUCUCUGAACACUCAUUCCCGAGUAGGAUGUCUCCAUCAAACCUCUCUCCUCAGGGGCUCAGAGAACUCUGUGGAGGAGGAAGGAAGAUUUUAUGAGCCAAUGGGGAUGGAAGGUAACAAGGAAUAGAACCUUCUAGACACAACAGGACUGAUACACAUACAAUCUCAGAGUCUGAGGCGGUAUACGCAGGGGCUGCUAAGGUGUAAGCUAGAUGGGGCCCCAGAACUGAAAGGGGAAAUGGA